GGCCCAGAGGUGGCGGAGGCGGGGGUUGAGAGUUUUGUUGAGCUGGAGCUUGAUGUAGUCAUCGUAGGAGCGAAAUCCAGGGCGGAUGCGGAGGAGUGGGGCGGCGGGGGUGGCGGGGCCACCGGAGGCGACGGGGGUGGCGAGUUUGUGGAGGGGGAUGAGGAGGAGGAGGAGGAGAAGAGAAAGGGAGAUGAGGAAGAUGAAGGGUUUGAGGAGGGGCUUGUCAGGCUUGUUCAUGGCGGCGGCGACGGCGACGGCGGUGGUGGACGGUGAUGGCUAGGGCUUUU
rnacentral:misc_RNA from 1 species